rnacentral:rRNA from 1 species
GACGAACGCUGGCGGCGUGCUUAACACAUGCAAGUCGAACGGUGAACUCCGCUUGCGGGUGGAUCAGUGGCGAACGGGUGAGUAACACUUGGGCAACCUGCCCCUAGCUCUGGGAUAACUCCAAGAAAUUGGGGCUAAUACCGGUUCUGACCGAUGUCUGGAUGGUCUGGUGGUGGUAAGAUUUAACGGUUGUGGAGUGGCGUGCGGCCUAUCAGCUUGCUGGUGGGGUAGUGGCCUACCAAGGCGCCGACGGCUAGCCGGCCUGAGAGGGUGACCGGCCACACUGGGCCUGCGGGACGGCCCAGACUCCAACGGGAGGCAAAGGUGGGGAAUAUGACGGAACAGGGCAGCGCCUGACGCAGCGACGCCGCGUGGGGAAAGACGGGCUUCGAGUUGUAAACCUCUGUCUGCAGAGACGAAGAGAAAGUGACGGUACCUGAAGAAGAAGCACCGGCCAACUACGUG